rnacentral:lncRNA from 1 species
CAUCUGUGAACUUAAUUGAGCAAGCAGUGAAUGUCAUUGGAUCUGAGAGAUCCAAAGUUGAGAUAAAUCUUAAGUAUAUGUGAAACCUUAGGCUAAGUCAUAUAAGAAAAGAAAUGAUUAACAGACUAGAGAAAUAUGGACUUUUGGGCUCAUUGACUGUUGAGUCAUAUCUAAUUUGUGCAUCAUCUCUUUAAAGAAAAAUGACGAAGCUACUCUUGUG